AUACGUAGGGCGCGAGCGUUAUCCGGAAUUACUGGGUGUAAAGGGCGCGCAGGCGGGUAGGCAAGUCAGGUGUGAAAUACGGGGGCUCAACUCUCGGGCUGCACUUGAAACUGCAUAUCUUGAGUGAUGGAGAGGCAGGCGGAAUUCCCGGUGUAGCGGUGAAAUGCAUAGAUAUCGGGAGGAACACCAGUGGCGAAGGCGGCCUGCUGGACAUCAACUGACGCUGAGGCGCGAAAGCGUGGGGAGCAAACAGGAUUAGAUACCCUGGUAGUCCACGCCGUAAACGAUGGAUACUAGGUGUGGGGGGACUGACCCCCUCCGUGCCGGAGUUAACACAAUAAGUAUCCCACCUGGGGAGUACGUUCGCAAGAAUGAA
rnacentral:rRNA from 1 species